AAAAGUCGUAACAAGGUUUCCGUAGGUGAACCUGCGGAAGGAUCAUUAAUAAUCAAAA
rnacentral:rRNA from 1 species